rnacentral:tRNA from 1 species
GUAUAGCUCAGUGGUAGAGUUCAUAUUUAACAUGCAUGAGGUCCUGGGUUCAAUCCCCAGCAC